GGUGCAGGUGGCUUUGUAAGUCAGGUGUGAAAUCCCAGGGCUUAACCCUGGAAGUGCAUUUGAUACUGCGAAGCUUGAGUGCUGGAGAGGCUAUUAGAAUUCCAGGUGUAGUGGUGAAAUACGUAGAUAUCUGGAGGAACACCGGAGGCGAAGGCGGGUAGCUGGCCAGACACUGACACUCAGACCCGAAAGCGUGGGAUCAAACA
rnacentral:rRNA from 1 species